UUUUCACGACCGCCGCUGCCUGACAUAAUCGAGUUUGUUAAAAGUUUUGGUGUUUUCGUUCUUCAAUUCUCAACCGAUUGCAUUAGGUGCUCUUUAAUAAGUCGCUGAUUUCAAUGGACAUCAAUAACAUGUUGAUCUCUCUCGGUGUAUCCGUUUCAGAUCAUAACAUGUUGAUUGUCCAUAGGGAAAUCACUCUGUGUGUCAGGGUUCAAUUUAGGAGUUAUGGUCCACCACAUGGUAGACAAUGGGGAAACCGACAGUCUGCUGCAGCAAGGAGGAUUAGAGCUCUGGAAAGGAGAGUCAAAGAUCUGCGAGAUCACACAAACGCACUCUAAAGAAUCGUGAAAAUCGAGAAAAGUAUGUUGAAAAUCGUUACUUCAGAAGAAGAAGUUGCUGAAAAUUUAGAAGCAAAGCGCGAAAUGUGAUCGCAAGUUCUACGAAUUAGCAACUGCACCUUUUUAGAUUAUCAAUUUAGAGAUGUUUUGAAGAGUUUUUGGAUGAUUAGCUUCUAGUUGCUUUCUUAAGUCGUGAAAAGUAGACUAAUGGUAUGAUCAAGAUGUCCACUCCAGUUGUCAUGGGUUUGCAAUGUAAGGAAAUGACGGCUUCUCAAAGCAAGAGAUCUAAGCAGUUGAUUUCUAAAAGUCCUUAAAACUGGAUAUCUGUUUAAGGAAACUGAUGGCGACACAUUUAAAAAGCAACCGACAAACCACAAGACUACCUUGGGUUUAACUAAUCAGAAUGGAGAUGCCAAUGUUAACAAGUUACCAAAUAGGAGGAAAGAGCUUACUUUGCAACAAGAAAAGGCUAGCAAACUGGUGAAACCAAAACCAUGAAAGAGCCGCAGGAUUAGUUGACACGGAGUCAUCAUCACAAGAUCUUCAAGAAGUGAAAUCGAAGAGCCAUGCCAUUUACAGUUAGAUCAUCUAAGAACUAAAAUCGAAGAUCAAUUGGAGACUGGUUGCUUUCUAAUGAAAACAUUUGAUUGAAAAGAUAUCAUAGAAAGACAAAAUGGGGACCAUAUUUAUUGUUCAUAGCAUUUGGAAUUUUUCUAUAUACAGUCGUUUGAUAUA